CGAGGACGAAUUCCGAUUAACAGGGGGAGAAUUGUAACGGCCUGGUUCCUGGCCCAAAAAUUUCCAUAAAAGAAUGGGCUUUUCUACGGCUCAUUUGACAAAACCUUGGGUUCCCUUUACCUUUUCCUAUAAAAAGAGCUGCAGCCCCCUUCUUUUGUCUCAUCACAAAUCUGAAGCGAAGCUCUGCAGAGAAUUCCCUGAGGCCGAAAACCCUAGCCGUCGAGCUCUCUCUCUCUCAUGCGCCGUCUCUCUCUUCUUCUCUCUCUCUCCUCCGCGCCGUCGCUCUCCCUCCUCCGCGCCGUCGCUCUCCCUCUCUCUCUCCUCGCGGUCGCUCUCUCUCUCCCUCUCCUCGCCGGCGCCUUGUGGUGGUGGUGGUGGUGGUGGUGAUCAGACCUCAUCCCCUUGUCUCUUGUUUCCAGAUCCAGAUCCAGAUCCAGAUCUAGACUAAGGUGGAGUGUCUCGAACCCAACCUCCUCUCAUGAUUCUGUAUACUCCUUUAUGUUGGAGUUAGGAUUUAUUAGCUCAUGUUUGAGAGCUAGGUUGAUAGAACAUGUUUAUUGCUAGGAUGUUAGCUGAAUGGAUCAUGAUGCAUAAGAACCCUCAUACUGUUAAAUGGGUCUUAAUGAACUAUCUUGUGUUGUUGUGAUGAUUGGUUGAUGAUUGAUGCUUGUAUGAUUGGUUGUGUAGUCCCAUGGGUUGAUUGUGAAUAAAGCUAGGAUGCUAGGAAGAAGCGACUGCUAAGAUGAUAGAUGAGUAUUGAUUGCUAAUGUUAUUGCAAGUAGAACUUGAGUGCGAUGUGUAUUGUGUGAGACACCGAUAACGGGUGGCGUCUAGUGAACGUGUAUGAGUACGAGUCUAAGUGAAAGUGAAUGAGAAUGAGUAAGUGAAAGUGAAAGUGAAAGGGAAUGAGAAUAAGAAUGUGAACGUGUCAAGGAACUUGCUUGAUGUUCUGUUUGGACCACCGAGAACGGGUGGACGUCUAGAGUCUAAGAUGUGUGACCUGCGGGACAGUAGCCUAACAAGAGGUACCUGCAGGAGCCCACGGGACAGUAGCCUAACAAGAGGUACCCGUGGGAGUGACCCGCGGGACAGUAGCCUAACAAGAGGUACCCACGGGAAAUGUGUAGUGGCGCCAUAAGAUCGAGUCAAUGCCGAGUCGUGGCGUAAUUAUGGCUAUUAUAACCGGGGGGCGGACAGUGCCAGGAUGGGCCAACGUGCUGCAAUUCGGAUAGCCAUGUAGGAGCUGGAGGGGGACGGAUGCUCGAAAGAGGCACCCUUCCAGGGCAAGCCGGAACGCGUAGGGACAUUCGUAAACAGCUAUAGGUCCAUACGUCUAGGAUGAAUGGAGUCGAGUCGGUUGUGUAUGUCGAGUCGGUUGAGUCUAUUGAAUUAUGUGUGUAGCAACGACUGAGAUCAUUGUUAGGUUGAUCGCUAGGGUUUUAGUAAAGUAUAGAAUCGUAUUGCUUGGAAAUGAUAAUGGUAGAAUGUUCUAGAAUGCAUUUGGAUUGAUUGUAGUGGCUAGUCAGCCUUGGUUCCCGCAUAGAGUAGUAUAAAGUGUCAUGCAGGCAGACUGGUCUAGAAUCACUUCACUGAGUAACCCAUUUACUCAGGCCCUCCCUUUCUAUUUUCAUGUGCGCAGGACUGUAAGUAGAAGUAUAUGGAUAUGGGUGUGACAGUAUUUCAAAGAAGGUUAUGCUUCCGUCGACUCUUGGGACCUGUAACGGAACACGUAGGGUUGUCUAAAUGAUUAGACACGUAUUCAUAACGCCCUUUCGAUAACCCCAAUCGGACGCCGGGGGAUCGGGCCGUUAUAGAAUGAGUGUAAUAUAAUCUACUGAAUGAAAUAUAUACGUUUUAACGAUUCACAUAAAUUCUUAAAAUAUGUUUUGAGAGACGGUAACAGUCGUGAAAAUAUCUGCACGACUCUGUUUUUUUAUAAAACUGUAAAGAACGUAUUCACAUUUACUUACUGAGAAUCUCACUUCUCACAUUCAAACAUUUGUCACUUACCUAAUAACAUCCGUAUUAUAUUAUCUAUAUAACCCAACACAACAUCCAAGCAAAGGUGAGUUGCUUAUACAAAUUGAAACAUUGGAAAAAAUACUAAAGAUGAUGAAUCUUGAAAUAAAUUUAACUCACUAAUGAGUCUCAUGUUGCUCAUAUAUCCUAAUAUCCUACAAUCUUGAAAUACAACAAUAGCACAAAUCUAUAUGAUCAAGAUAACAUUUUCACUGGUGGGUGAUAACAGUAACAACCAGAUGAUACGAUGUCCUUCUAGAGCUUAAACAGAUAACUAACCAGAGAUAUUCUUAAGCGUUGGAAGCAGAGACCAUGCAU